AUUUAUUUAGAUUUAAUACAAUUAGAUUGAAAUAUUAAAUAUUACAUUCAAUGCAUUUCAGGAGCUGUAAUAUUAUUAAAAGAAAAAGCAUGUCUGAAAAUAGUUUGUCUUCAUUCUACACAGGCCUACACAAAUAGAUUGAAAGUAUAUGUGGUAGUAGAAUAGAUGCAAUAUUGCAUUCAAAUAUGUACUGAAAUAAGGAUAUUUGUUACUCAUUCAUUCAGGUAUUCAAUACUUAUCCUUUCACUGUGCAAAUCAUUUUAUUUUUUACUAAAAUGUUCAUUUUUACAAAGAAUAACAUUGCACCUAACCCAGCCCAAUCACUGGAAGUAAAACAACCUAUAAGACGAGACCUCAAGUGAUGUCAGCUAAGUCCAUAUGCAAGUGACAGAGAAUCGAGAAAGAGAGUGCGGCUAAGCAAAGGACAAGACAGAAAUGACAGGGAAUUUUGCGCCUGAAUCCUUUUAGUAGCCCAGUGACACAUGAAUGAGUGGAGAAAGAAAGAGAGAGAGGAAGGACGGAGAGGCAGAGAGAGAAUAAGUGAGAGAAAAAAAGUAGACAACCAAUUUGGGAGUAAUGCAACUAAAAACAGACAAGUGUAAUUUCAUCCAUCUGGGCUGAUGUGUAAAAGUGCUGCUCUGAACAUUCCCCAUGAUUCCCUCUGAUUGAUCUCCUCCCGGAUUGAAACGCCUAUUAUUAGCCACGAGCCUAAUAGCAUCAGGAUGGCCCGCCGCUCUCCGAAGGGCCAAUUCUCUGGUCGGUCAUCUCUCCCCUCACUCUCUGCAGCUGUGGAAACCAACAAGAGAGAGGGGGGGUGGGGGAGGGUGGGGGAUGGAGUGAGAGAGCGAGAGAGAGAGCGAGGGGCGAGGAGGUCUGGGUGAGAGUGGGGGAGAGAAAGAGGGGGCAAGGUGAGGAGGAGGAGAUGGAGAGGGGGUGAGGGGGUGGUUGGAAGAGAAAUAGGAUGGAGAUGGGAGAAAAGAGAGGGAUAGGAGGAUUGGGUGAUGAAGAGAAAGAGAAAUAUAGGGUUGGGGGGGUGACAGGCAGUGGUGCUGGUAGUGGGGUAGAACUAAUUAUAAACAUUCCGGGGUUGAAACGGAGAGAAGAGAGAGUGGAGAGAUGGUGAAACAACAAUGAGGAGAGGGAAAUGCAAUACAAACGGUUAAUCAUACAAUUUGAUUGAAGUAUUUGCCAUUUAUCUUCAUAUGUCAUGAUAUUGAAACAACAAAAUGUCUUUGUUCCAUUUCAAUCAUUGAAUUUCCUGUAACGAUUUCACCCCUCAUUGUUCUUGUUCAAAUUCAAGUGGAGUUGUGCUCAAUAUUUAUUUUGUAAAACGGUCAAUUCAUUUAAGAAAAUGUGAAAACACUCUGACUUCUAAAGAUUUCAUGAUUGAAGCUGCAAUUGGACAUGAUUGCCAUCAUGAUGACAGUACUCACGUGACAGGAAAAACAACCAGCCCUAAUAAAUGUGGUUAGACAUUGCUUACUCCUACUCCAUAUCAAAAGUUGGCUGGCUUUCUUUACAUCUAGCUGGACUGGUAUUAGCUUUAAAGGUUAUAUAAAACAGUAUACCCCACUCUGAAUACAAGGACAGAUGGUCAACAAUUUGUUGAAUGCAUCAAGAUAGUAUCUAGUUUGCAGGUUGAUCCAAUGCAACCACUCAUGUUUCAACCCAAUGGAGACCAAUGGUGUCAUAGCUACAUGUAUGUAGUAUUGAAAUAUUUGAUAUGAGGGAGGUGAAUGAGUCAUUUUUGGUUGUUGUUGCAUCAUUGACUUUUGGGUAAUUGUAGUCAUGAUUUAAGGUCUUUGGUCCUUAGUUGAGCACCCAUUCAGUCUCUUUUGAGUAUUUUGAAUGAGCCCUUUGGUGAGGUUUGUUGCAUUUCAAAGCACACUGAUCACAAUGAUUGGCUAGUUGGUUCAAAUGGCCAGAAGUCUAAAAGUCUAAAGCCCUCAACUUGAAAAUGGCAGUUGGAACUAAUGGAAAUAAGAGCUUGGGUACUAAGGCAAUGCAUUAAUAACUAAAUUAUAUGGCUAGCAAUACAAAUUAUGGUCCAGAGUGACCAUAAAACUAAUGCUCUCCUUGUUCUGUGAUCCAGAGCUCCGAAAGUCAAAUGUAGUUUAUAAUGGUUCAAUCAGUAGUAAGGCUGGUCAGAAUGGCUAGCUUGCUUUAACUUCAUACAGUAAGGCUGGUCGGAAUGGCUAGCUCGCUUUAACUUCAUACAGUAAGGCUGGUCGGAAUGGCUAGCUCGCUGUAACUUCAUACAGUAAGGCUGGUCAGAAUGGCUAACUCGCUUUAGCUUCAUUCAGUAAGGCUGGUCUGAAUGGCUAGCUCGCUUUAGCUUCAUACAGUAAGGCUGGUCUGAAUGGCUAGCUCGCUUUAACUUCAUACAGUAAGGCUGGUCUGAAUGGCUAGCUCGCUUUAACUUCAUACAGUAAGGCUGGUCUGAAUGGCUAGCUCGCUUUAACUUCAUACAGUAAGGCUGGUCUGAAUGGCUAGUUCGCUGUAACUCCAUUCAGUAAGGCUGGUCUGAAUGGCUAGCUCGCUUUAACUUCAUACAGUAAGGCAUAAUAUAAUGAACAUAGUUUCCUAUUCUACAGGCAUUGUGGCAUACAUAAGUACAUAAGUGUUUACAAACGUUAUCAUCUGCAUAGCAUCAAGUCUCUCUUCCUCUUUCAAUAUUAGCCACAUGCAGAAUGUCAUUCACAUAUAUUACCUUAUAUACCCUAUAAGCAAGGCACAAUAAUGCGCAUUCCUCACACUUGCUGUUUAACCAAUGGUCACACUUUUGCAAUUAUCACCUAUCUCUCUGUCAACCAAUGGGCAUACAUCUUGGAAUGUAUUUAUAUGUCAAAUGUACCCAUGUUUUCUUACUUGCUGCAUUACAGGAAAAGUUACCCUCCACCUCCCCACCACCAUCACCAGCUAAGGCCCAUCACUGGAACUCCUUUCUCCCAGCGCGGGGGGAUUCGAUGCCAGCUGCCCCUCAUAGGACUACCUGCCAUAACAGCAUCUGGCUCCGAGCUCGGAGAUGAGGCCAUUCCCCAAACUAUUUCAUACUGCAUUUUGCCUCUGUUGUUCAUUCAGUUAAUGAACGACAAAACCUUAAACUCGAUUGAACAUAUUUUCUCCAGAUCAUGUUUAGUCCAGUUAACCCACCUCUAUAAAGAGGAAUAUUAGGCUGUAUAUUAAUGUAUUGUCACCUCCAUCCAUUUAGUUGUGGCUUAUGUCUUUUAGGAAAAUGUAUAUUUAGCAUUUUACUGUAACAUUGGGAUAUGGACAAAUAAGACUAUUUCUCCUAGAAUGUGCGUGAAAACAAUAAAUGCAUUUUGCAAUCAAAGCUAUGGUAACUUUAAUUCAGCUUUCAAAACAUUGGCCAUGAGUAAACCCCUUGUUCAAAAUGCAGUUUCAGGUAGGUGUUUUAGGGGGCGGUGUAGACAAUAGUUAGGAAAUAUAAUCUGACAACUCCUGCAUUGUGGUUUUUAUGAGAACCAUGGCAGCCCAGUGAAUGAGUUGGGCUGUCAGUCACAGUGCACAUGACCAGGUGUGAUUUUUUUUUCUUUGCUUUUUUCUGCCUCAGGUCACUCUGUGCUCUUAAAUUACAUGCUCCUUUUGUUACAGGCAUAAAUGCAUUGUGUGCCACUUCCUCAAUGGUUCCCACUUUAGUCAGUGCAAGUUCUCUUGUUUAAGCAAAUGUAGGUCAAUUUGCUCAAAUUUGAUUGUGAAUUGUGUUUUAUGCUAUGUGCAACUCUUGUUCUGUCUGUUGCAUAAAGGACUUCAAUUUCCCUCAAUUUUGUUGAAAUAUUUUUCACUUUCGAUGUUUUUCAAAUGUAAGCCUUUCCCAACCACAGGAAUAUUCCUUAUUUUACUUUUUAGAAGCGCAUUGUAGGCUCCUUUUUUUCUGGAAAUGCGAUUCUCAUAGUAAUUUUGCAUAACGGUCUGCUAGCCGUUAUCCUCUCUACUGAAUAGUGUAAUAUGUUUAUGUUCCGUACUGUGUGCCACAUAUAUCAUUAGGUCUGAGGUUUUAUACAUUACAUCCGUUCACUUAUCCCUUCCAGUGGUUACAGCGUGAUGUAGGUUACUUUACCCACAACAGCGUGGUGCAGGCUAGAGGAUUUUACCCACCAGCCGACAUGCAUGCACAAGCAACUCAGUCAUAUCAAAAUUUAGCUAAAUUAUGAAUAUGAUGAAAAACUGAUUAUAAUAACUUUCUAGUGAGAAUUUAAAGGUUUUAAAUGUUUUUGUUGUUUUUUUUAAACCUGCCCAGCAAC
ensembl:lncRNA